CCUACGGGAGGCAGCAGUGAGGAAUAUUGGUCAAUGGACGCAAGUCUGAACCAGCCAUGCCGCGUGCAGGAUGAAUGUGCUAUGCAUUGUAAACUGCUUUUGUACGAGGGUAAAAACAGGUACGUGUACCUGGUUGAAAGUAUCGUACGAAUAAGGGUCGGCUAACUCCGUGCCAGCAGCCGCGGUAAUACGGAGGACCCGAGCGUUAUCCGGAUUUAUUGGGUUUAAAGGGUGCGUAGGCGGAUUGGUAAGUUAGAGGUGAAAGCUCAGCGCUUAACGUUGAAACUGCCUCUGAUACUGUCGGUCUAGAGUAUAGUUGCGGAAGGCGGAAUGUGUGGUGUAGCGGUGAAAUGCUUAGAUAUCACACAGAACACCGAUUGCGAAGGCAGCUUUCCAAGCUAUCACUGACGCUGAGGCACGAAAG
rnacentral:rRNA from 1 species